UACGUAGGGGGCAAGCGUUGUCCGGAUUCAUUGGGCGUAAAGAGCGUGUAGGCGGCCAGGCAGGUCCGCUGUGAAAACUCGAGGCUCAACCUCGAGAUGUCGGUGGAAACCAUCUAGCUAGAGUCCGGAAGAGGAGAGUGGAAUUCCUGGUGUAGCGGUGAAAUGCGCAGAUAUCAGGAAGAACACCGGUGGCGAAGGCGGCUUGCUGGGCCUUACCUGACGCUGAGGAGCGAAAGCGUGGGGAGCGAACAGG
rnacentral:rRNA from 1 species